rnacentral:rRNA from 1 species
GACCAUUUCUGGCGGCGUGCUUAACACAUGCAAGUCGAACGGAAAGGCCCUUUGCUUGCAAGGGGUACUCGAGUGGCGAACGGGUGAGUAACACGUGGGUGAUCUGCCUUGCACUUCGGGAUAAGCCUGGGAAACUGGGUCUAAUACCGGAUAGGACCAUGCUUUAGUGUGUGUGGUGGAAAGUUUUUUCGGUGCAAGAUGAGCCCGCGGCCUAUCAGCUUGUUGGUGGGGUAAUGGCCUACCAAGGAGACGACGGGUAGCCGGCCUGAGAGGAUGUACGGUCACAUUGGGACUGAGACACGGCCCAUACUCCUACGGGAGGCAGCAGUGGUGAAUAUUGCACAAUGGGCGCAAGCCUGAUGCACCGACGCCGCGAGGGGGAUGACCGCCUUUCAGGUUGUUAAUCUCCUUUCACUAGGGAAGAAGCCACUGUGUGGUGACGGAUCCUGGAUAAGAAGAACCUGCUAACUACAUGCCCGCAACCACGGUAAUACUUAGGGUUCGCAGCAUUUCCCGGAAUUACUGGGCUCAAAAGAGUCUAGGUGGUUUGUCGCGUCGUCUGUGAAUUCCCGGGGCUUAACUUCGGGCGUGCAGGCGAUACGGGCAUAACUAGAGUGCUGUAGGGGAGACUGGAAUUCCUGGUGUAGCGGUGAAAUGCGCAGAUAUCAGGAGGAACACCGAUGGCGAAGGCAGGUCUCUGGGCAGUUACUGACGCUGAGGAGCGAAAGCAUGGGUAGCGAACAGGAUUAGAUACCCUGGUAGUCCAUGCCGUAAACGGUGGGCGCUAGGUGUGGGGGUUUUAUUUACGAUUCCCGUGCCGUAGCUAACGCAUUAAGCGCCCCGCCUGGGGAGUACGGCCGCAAGGCUAAAACUCAAAGGAAUUGACGGGGGCCCGCACAAGCGGCGGAGCAUGUGGAUUAAUUCGAUGCAACGCGAAGAACCUUACCUGGGCUUGACAUACACCGGAUCGCUGCAGAGAUGUGGUUUCCCUUGUGGCUGGUGUACAGGUGGUGCAUGGUUGUCGUCAGCUCGUGUCGUGAGAUGUUGGGUUAAGUCCCGCAACGAGCGCAACCCUUGUCUUGUGUUGCCAGCACGUUAUGGUGGGGACUCGCGAGAGACUGCCGGGGUUAACUCGGAGGAAGGUGGGGAUGACGUCAAAUCAUCAUGCCCCUUAUGUCCAGGGCUUCACACAUGCUACAAUGGUCGGUACAGUGGGUUGCGAUACCGUGAGGUGGAGCUAAUCCCUUAAAGCCGGUCUCAGUUCGGAUUGGAGUCUGCAACUCGACUCCAUGAAGUCGGAGUCGCUAGUAAUCGCAGAUCAGCGACGCUGCGGGGAAUAAGUUCCCGGGCCU